rnacentral:rRNA from 1 species
AAGCAAUAAGUGAUCCACCUGGGGAGUACGGCGGCAACGCUGAAACUCAAAGGAAUUGACGGGGGCCCGCACAAGCGGAGGAACAUGUGGUUUAAUUCGAUGAUACGCGAGGAACCUUACCUGGGCUUGAAAGGGGAUUGACCUCCCGGGAAACCGGGAUUCUCUUCGGAGCAAUCUCCUAGGUGCUGUAUGGUUGUCGUCAGCUCGUGCCGUGAGGUGUCGGGUUAAGUCCCAUAACGAGCGCAACCCCUAUUGUUAGUUGCCAGCGGGUAAUGCCGGGAACUCUAACGAAACUGCCGGUGUAAACCGAGAGGAAGGUGGGGAUGACGUCAAAUCAGCACGGCCCUUAUGUCCAGGGCUACACACGUGUUACAAUGGCCGGCACAAAGGGCAGCUACUAGGUGACUAGAUGCUAAUCUCUAAAACCGGUCUCA